CUUUACUCUCCCUCAUCUAUAACUUGAUAUUCAUAGGGAAGAACUCUCCGUACUUUACUUUACUCUCUAUUCAUCUGACAAAAAACACACAACACACAGCUUGGAAUAUACAGAUGAUCUGCUUUGACUUUUACUGUCUUUGCCUGUGCAUUUUACGCGACAUUUUUGUUCGACAUUUCGCUACCAGGGUAAACAAACGUUUCGAGCAUAGUUGUAGUAGCGGCCAGUUCCGCAGGCGAUAUCCUUUGAGGUGGGUGGUCGCACGGGUAUGUCUGCUUGAGCAACAAUUGCCAGAGUAAGAGCCAGUAAGAGCCCCAGGCUGCCUUGUACGAAGUUCAUCUCUGCUGUUGGUUGUUCUGUAAACGCUGUUGGAUCUGAAUCGGCUUUUUAUAGUUGCAAG
rnacentral:lncRNA from 1 species